UUGGACACAAGUGGAUUGCGCACAAGCAGAGUAUCACAGAGCAAAUUUGGACACAGUAAUGAUUGCGCACACUAUUAAUUGAACACAAAGCUACCUACUCGCGCGUGUUUCCCAUCUCAUACCUUAAUCUUUUAAUGCCGUGCGUGUUCCGUCUGAUAUAUUUCAAUCUUUUAUAAUUUACUGUUAGUGACGAUUCUCAUAAAGAGCCUGACGAACGUGUUGAGAUUAAUUAUCCCUGCAGAAUAUGUAAAUUCUAAGAUGUUUUGUCGAAAAUUUAUUAAAGUGGUUCUACAUUAUUAGAUUUGCAAAUUAUAUUCAAGUGGUGUUCGAUAUUUCGUAAAUUCAUGAAAUAAGUAUAUGACAUUUAUGCAAGGACCUGUAACGAUAAGUAUGUAAGACUGUUCGAUGAAAUUUCUCGCAGGAGUUUGUUGUUGAUUCUGUGUGCUUAACCUUAUUUGAGUUGACAGGAAGUAGAAAUUCAGGUAUGUAGUUUAUUCAAUGUCGAGCAGUGAUCUAGAAUAUUUGAUGGUUAUAUAAUAGACAGACAAAACUGUUUUAUGGAAAUUGUGAAAAUUGAUUGCAAUGUUAAAUCAAAUCGAACUGUUUGCAUGCUCUCUUCUGUGCAUUUAACCAUAUUUGGAUUGGCAGGAAGCUGAGGAUCCAAGAAGAAAUUGAGAUAAGUAUCUUUUGCCUAUAAAACGAUAGAUUUAACAAGAAUGAACAUGAUACUUUGUGGUGUUUUUAGCUUAUAUUUUACAGGUAGUUUAAUCAAUGUCGAGCAGUGAUUUAUAACACGUGAAGAUUAUGGACAGACAACUUGGUUGAUAUGUGCAUUGGAGUGAGUUGGUGGUGAGUUGAGAAAUAUUACGUUUUCCAAGUUUAUUAUAAUAUAGAUAAACUGCUCGCUUACAUACGUACUUCAUAAUUCUAGACAUUAUGUUUUCCUUUACUAUUUAGUUGCUAAAUCCAAAGUGGAACAUACAAUAUUGGUAACAAAUGAAUUUUUCUAGUAAUAUAUUUAUUAAACAAAUUCUUAAAUGCUAACUUAUAUUAUACAAUAUGUGGUAUUAUAAAUAUUAUUAUAUGUAAUAUGAAUACAUAAAACUAUUCAACGGGUAAGAUUUUAGGUAAAUCUAAAGAAAAAUUGCUUUUAUAUGAACCAUAUAUUACCAUUUGUAACAAACAAUUUGUAUAUACAAUAACCAUUAAUUUUUAUUAACUAAAGCUACCACUUAUAUUAUAUUACUGUUAAAUAUUCUGCUUCAACCGAACAGCUGGAUAUAUCGUAGUUUCAUAGUAUGCAACUCUUGAACCUGAAAUGAAAGUAGAAUAAUUAAAAAGAGUUUAGAUUAAAAGAAAUUGUAUUCAUUGAAUUGUAUUGUAGAUUAAAGUAAGCUUACAUAUAUAUGUAUGUCAGGGGGCAGAUUUCAGAACACCAAAUUUUCCUUUGAUAUGAUUAUUUAGAUUUGUAAUUUCUUGACUUAGAUUUCUUAAGAAUCUUUGAAAUUUUGAAAAAAAGUUACUAUUUCUUAGAGAUACAAUUGAUUAUAUAUAGAAGGGCAGUUAUCA